rnacentral:rRNA from 1 species
GAUGAACGCUGGCGGCGUGCCUAAUACAUGCAAGUCGAGCGAGCAGACGAGGAGCUUGCUCCUCUGACGUUAGCGGCGGACGGGUGAGUAACACGUGGAUAACCUACCUAUAAGACUGGGAUAACUUCGGGAAACCGGAGCUAAUACCGGAUAAUAUAUUGAACCGCAUGGUUCAAUAGUGAAAGACGGUUUUGCUGUCACUUAUAGAUGGAUCCGCGCCGCAUUAGCUAGUUGGUAAGGUAACGGCUUACCAAGGCGGCGAUGCGUAGCCGACCUGAGAGGGUGAUCGGCCACACUGGAACUGAGACACGGUCCAGACUCCUACGGGAGGCAGCAGUAGGGAAUCUUCCGCAAUGGGCGAAAGCCUGACGGAGCAACGCCGCGUGAGUGAUGAAGGUCUUCGGAUCGUAAAACUCUGUUAUUAGGGAAGAACAAAUGUGUAAGUAACUAUGCACGUCUUGACGGUACCUAAUCAGAAAGCCACGGCUAACUACGUG